rnacentral:ncRNA from 2 species
UAAAUAAUCUAGUUUUUAGGUGCUUCUAGGAUAGUACUUUAUCCAAAGAAGUGAAAAGGGAAUCAGGUGAAAAUCCUGAACAGACCCACUGCUGUAAGCUUUUAUAACUUUCUAAUAAAUACUACAAUAUCCACUGUCGGUAGAUGAUGGGAAGGGCAGUUAGAAAGGAAGCGAGUCAGAAGACCUGCCUAAAAAUACAAUCUACU